rnacentral:tRNA from 1 species
GGGCCCGUAGCUCAAUGGUAGAGCACUCGGCUCUUAACCGAAUGGUUGGAGGUUCGAAUCCUCUCGGGCUCA